GAUUGAACGCUGGCGGCAUGCUUUACACAUGCAAGUCGAACGGCAACGAGGAGAAGCUUGCUUCUCUGUCGGCGAGUGGCGAACGGGUGAGUAUAGCAUCGGAACGUGCCAAGUAGUGGGGGAUAACCAAACGAAAGUUUGGCUAAUACCGCGUAAGCUCCAAGGAGGAAAGUAGGGGACCUAAAUAAGGCCUUACGCUAUUUGAUCGGCCGAUGUCGGAUUAGCUAGUUGGUGGGGUAAUGGCUCACCAAGGCAAUGAUCCGUAGCGGGUCUGAGAGGACGAUCCGCCACACUGGGACUGAGACACGGCCCAGACUCCUACGGGAGGCAGCAGUGGGGAAUUUUGGACAAUGGGGGAAACCCUGAUCCAGCCAUGCCGCGUGUAUGAAGAAGGCCUUAGGGUUGUAAAGUACUUUUGUUAGGGAAGAAAAGCUAGUUUUUAAUAAAAAUUAGUGAUGACGGUACCUAAAGAAUAAGCACCGGCUAACUACGUG
rnacentral:rRNA from 1 species